GGGACCCGCACAAGCAGUGGAGUAUGUGGUUUAAUUCGAAGCAACGCGAAGAACCUUACCAGGUCUUGACAUCCUCCUGAAUACGUUUGAGAUAGCGUAUGCCCUUCGGGGACAGGGGAGACAGGUGGUGCAUGGUUGUCGUCAGCUCGUGUCGUGAGAUGUUGGGUUAAGUCCCGCAACGAGCGCAACCCUUGAUCUUAGUUGCCAGCACUUUGGGUGGGCACUCUAGGAUGACUGCCGGUGACAAACCGGAGGAAGGCGGGGAUGACGUCAAAUCAUCAUGCCCCUUAUGACCUGGGCUACACACGUACUACAAUGGCCGGUACAACGGGCCGCGAAGCCGCGAGGCGGAGCCAAUCCCAAAAAGCCGGUCUCAGUUCGGAUUGCAGGCUGCAACUCGCCUGCAUGAAGUCGGGAUUGCUAGUAAUCGCGGAUCAGCAUGCCGCGGUGAAUACGUUCCCGGGUCUUGUACACACCGCCCGUCACACCACGAGAGUUUACNACACCCGAAGUCGGUGAGGUAACCCGCAAGGGGGCUANCCGCCGAAGGUGGGUAGAUGNUUGGGGUGAAGUCGUAACAAGGUAGCCGUAUCGGAAGG
rnacentral:rRNA from 1 species